rfam:Chloroflexi bacterium GWC2_70_10 gwc2_scaffold_9384, whole genome shotgun sequence.
GCCUAAUUGAAGACGCGGGCCAUCAGCGAAGCCGGUGAGACUCCGGCACGGUCUGGCCACCGUAUCGGGAGAGAUCCCAAAGUCGGGUCGCCUGAUGUCCCGCUCGCGGCCGAAACGCCUUCCGAAGAGAGGUGGACGUCCAGG